UCCCUACGGGGGGCAGCAGUGGGGAAUAUUGCACAAUGGGGGAAACCCUGAUGCAGCAACGCCGCGUGAAGGAAGACGGUUUUCGGAUUGUAAACUUCUUUUCUUAGUGAAGAAGCAAGUGACGGUAGCUAAGGAAUAAGCAUCGGCUAACUACGUGCCAGCAGCCGCGGUAAUACGUAGGAUGCGAGCGUUAUCCGGAAUUACUGGGUGUAAAGGGAGCGCAGGCGGGACUGCAAGUUGGAUGUGAAAUACCGCAGCUUAACUGCGGAGCUGCCUCCAAAACUGUUGUCUUUGAGGGGCGUAAG
rnacentral:rRNA from 1 species